UACGUAGGGGGCAAGCGUUGUCCGGAAUUAUUGGGCGUAAAGCGCGUGUAGGCGGCCAGGUAGGUCUGCUGUGAAAACUCGAGGCUCAACUUCGAGAUGUCGGCGGAAACCAUCUGGCUAGAGUCCGGAAGAGGAGAGUGGAAUUCCUGGUGUAGCGGUGAAAUGCGCAGAUAUCAGGAAGAACACCCGUGGCGAAGGCAGCCUUCUGGGCCAACACUGACGCUCAUGCACGAAAGCGUGGGGAGCAAACAGG
rnacentral:rRNA from 1 species